UGGGGAAUAUUGGACAAUGGGGGGAACCCUGAUCCAGCCAUGCCGCGUGUGUGAAGAAGGCCUUAUGGUUGUAAAGCACUUUAAGCGAGGAGGAGGCUACUUUAGUUAAUACCUAGAGAUAGUGGACGUUACUCGCAGAAUAAGCACCGGCUAACUCUGUGCCAGCAGCCGCGGUAAUACAGAGGGUGCAAGCGUUAAUCGGAUUUACUGGGCGUAAAGCGCGCGUAGGCGGCUAAUUAAGUCAAAUGUGAAAUCCCCGAGCUUAACUUGGGAAUUGCAUUCGAUACUGGUUAGCUAGAGUGUGGGAGAGGAUGGUAGAAUUCCAGGUGUAGCGGAGAAAUGCGUAGAGAUCUGGAGGAAUACCGAUGGCGAAGGCAGCCAUCUGGCCUAACACUGACGCUGAGGUACGAAAGCAUGGGGAGCAAACAGG
rnacentral:rRNA from 1 species